rnacentral:lncRNA from 1 species
UGCACGCCUAGUUCAAACGCAAACGCGCGUGCUUCUUGAUUUGCGUGUUGUAGACACGCAUGACAGCGACACUGGACACGCGUUUCUUGAAAAGGGCAAUAGACACAUUGGAGGUGGAAGUGGUGUGAAAGAGGAGGGACUUGAGACUUCAGUUUGCGUUUCACUGUGCAAACUGAAGGGCGCUCACGCUCGGCUCUCCUGGACUGACCGCUGAGCCACGGAACUAGUUUGCGCGGACAUUGCCUUCACACGUUAAACUCCCACAACUGUGCUCACCGCCGACAGCGGACGUUCAGUAAACCCGGUGAAGCCUAGAAGUUGUCCGUUUCUUCCUAAAGCGCCACUCUUUCAUGCGAGGAUGUGAAUUUCCACGGGAGGAUUCAGAGUCGUGCCAUGGUUUUGACCUGCGCGCUCCUCACAGAAAUGGGCCGCUCCACAUCUACGGGUACAUGAAUCUGAGUUCCACCGGCCAGAUGCCUGAGAUGGAAGAAGUAGAUACCAAUGAGAGAAAUUACAGGAAUGCAGUCUCUCUGGGAUUUCUGGGGAAUCUACUUCAGCAUCAGGGGACUUGAAGGUCUCCAGAGGAUUCGGGUCUGUUUGCUCAGCAGGACAGAGGAAAUAUUGUUUUCCUAUGUUGGCAUCAGCUUUCUCUUCCGGUAUCUGCUUACAAACCCUCAGUGUCCUGCAACAUCACUGGAGUCUCACAGCAC